rnacentral:rRNA from 1 species
ACAGAGGGUGCAAGCGUUAAUCGGAAUUACUGGGCGUAAAGCGCACGUAGGCGGCGUGAUAAGUUGGAUGUGAAAUCCCCGGGCUUAACUUGGGAAUUGCAUUCAAGACUGUCGCGCUAGAGUAUGGGAGAGAGAAGUGGAAUUCCAGGUGUAGCGGUGAAAUGCGUAGAUAUCUGGAGGAACAUCAGUGGCGAAGGCGGCUUCUUGGCCCAAUACUGACGCUGAGGUGCGAAAGCGUGGGGAUCAAACAGGAUUAGAUACCCUGGUAGUCCACGCUGUAAACGAUGAGAACUAGACGUUGGAAGGAUCUGCCUUUCAGUGUCGCAGCUAACGCGAUAAGUUCUCCGCCUGGGGAGUACGGCCGCAAGGUUG